UAUUGCACAAUGGGGGGAACCCUGAUGCAGCAAUGCCGCGUGGGUGAAGAAGUAUUUCGGUAUGUAAAGCCCUAUCAGCAGGGAAGAAAAUGACAGUACCUGACUAAGAAGCCCCGGCUAACUACGUGCCAGCAGCCGCGGUAAUACGUAGGGGGCGAGCGUUAUCCGGAUUUACUGGGUGUAAAGGGAGCGCAGGCGGCAUGGCAAGUCAGAUGUGAAAACCCGGGGCCCAACCCCGGGACUGCAUUUGAAACUGCCAUGCUGGAGUGCCGGAGAGGUAAGUGGAAUUCCUAGUGUAGCGGUGAAACGCGUAGAUAUUAGGAGGAACACCAGUGGCGGAGGCGGCUUACUGGACGGUAACUGACGCUGAGGCUCGAAAGCGUGGGGAGCAAACAGG
rnacentral:rRNA from 1 species